GGGGUGCUAGCUCAAGGGUAAAGCACUUGCCUAGCAUACAAGAGACCCUGGGUUCAACCCCUAGCAUCCCA
rnacentral:tRNA from 2 species